UCCAGAUAAUUUAAAUUGUAUCUGAUUUAUGGUGGCUGUAGGCAAAUUUCUGGUUUCCUGCUAAGUACCACCUUUCACCAGGGCUUUCCCCAUUGUGCUUUUUGCUCCCUUCCCAACUCAAUCAAUCAGUUUCAGCUUGUAAUUCUGUAUUAAUUACUCUCCGGUGUCUCGGCAAAAGCCAAAACGAAAAAAGAAUCAAAAACAAUAUAAAAAAACCCCGAACACACUGAAUCGUUCGAUUAUAUGUAAAUGCCUUGCCAGACGGCUGAUAAAACAGUAAGAACGAAAACUGUUCAUCAGAUAAGAGUCCCAGACCGGCGAGCAUAUAUAUAUUUCAAAAUCGGAUAAUGGCGCUACGUAGAAGGGAAAUACCCAUUUGACCGAUAGCCUCCAGCAACGAAGUUCUCAAGUCAUAUUUCCGCUGAAAGGUUCAAAAAUCAAUAAACGAAAUACCACUGUAAACUGAUCAAAACUGGUUAUCUGAGGACUGUUCCUACGUCAGCAUAACUCAAAAGCCAUCAUGCCCGCCUGGCAACUAAAAAGUACUUUAGCAAACUGUUUUUUUCUCCGCUUAAAAACCUAAUUUAAAAAGCAUAUUUUUGCUUUGUUUUUGAGGACA